rnacentral:rRNA from 1 species
UAAGCCUGUGAAGGUGGCCUGUGAGGGUUGCUGGAGGUAUCAGAAGUGCGAAUGCUGACAUAAGUAACGAUAAAGCGGGUGAAAAGCCCGCUCGCCGGAAGACCAAGGGUUCCUGUCCAACGUUAAUCGGGGCAGGGUGAGUCGACCCCUAAGGCGAGGCCGAAAGGCGUAGUCGAUGGGAAACGGGUUAAUAUUCCCGUACUUGGUGUUACUGCGAAGGGGGGACGGAGAAGGCUAUGUUGGCCGGGCGACGGUUGUCCCGGUUUAAGCGUGUAGGUGUGUGUUCCAGGUAAAUCCGGUUCACUUUAACACUGAGGCGUGACGACGAGGCACUACGGUGCUGAAGCAACAAAUGCCCUGCUUCCAGGAAAAGCCUCUAAGCAUCAGGUAACAUCAAAUCGUACCCCAAACCGACACAGGUGGUCAGGUAGAGAAUACCAAGGCGCUUGAGAGAACUCGGGUGAAGGAACUAGGCAAAAUGGUGCCGUAACUUCGGGAGAAGGCACGCUGACAUGUAGGUGAAGUGAUUUACUCAUGGAGCUGAAGUCAGUCGAAGAUACCAGCUGGCUGCAACUGUUUAUUAAAAACACAGCACUGUGCAAACACGAAAGUGGACGUAUACGGUGUGACGCCUGCCCGGUGCCGGAAGGUUAAUUGAUGGGGUCAGCGCAAGCGAAGCUCCUGAUCGAAGCCCCGGUAAACGGCGGCCGUAACUAUAACGGUCCUAAGGUAGCGAAAUUCCUUGUCGGGUAAGUUCCGACCUGCACGAAUGGCGUAAUGAUGGCCAGGCUGUCUCCACCCGAGACUCAGUGAAAUUGAACUCGCUGUGAAGAUGCAGUGUACCCGCGGCAAGACGGAAAGACCCCGUGAACCUUUACUAUAGCUUGACACUGAACAUUGAGCCUUGAUGUGUAGGAUAGGUGGGAGGCUUUGAAGCGUGGACGCCAGUCUGCGUGGAGCCGACCUUGAAAUACCACCCUUUAAUGUUUGAUGUUCUAACGUGGACCCGUAAUCCGGGUUGCGGACAGUGUCUGGUGGGUAGUUUGACUGGGGCGGUCUCCUCCUAAAGAGUAACGGAGGAGCACGAAGGUUGGCUAAUCCUGGUCGGACAUCAGGAGGUUAGUGCAAUGGCAUAAGCCAGCUUGACUGCGAGCGUGACGGCGCGAGCAGGUGCGAAAGCAGGUCAUAGUGAUCCGGUGGUUCUGAAUGGAAGGGCCAUCGCUCAACGGAUAAAAGGUACUCCGGGGAUAACAGGCUGAUACCGCCCAAGAGUUCAUAUCGACGGCGGUGUUUGGCACCUCGAUGUCGGCUCAUCACAUCCUGGGGCUGAAGUAGGUCCCAAGGGUAUGGCUGUUCGCCAUUUAAAGUGGUACGCGAGCUGGGUUUAGAACGUCGUGAGACAGUUCGGUCCCUAUCUGCCGUGGGCGCUGGAGAACUGAGGGGGGCUGCUCCUAGUACGAGAGGACCGGAGUGGACGCAUCACUGGUGUUCGGGUUGUCAUGCCAAUGGCACUGCCCGGUAGCUAAAUGCGGAAGAGAUAAGUGCUGAAAGCAUCUAAGCACGAAACUUGCCCCGA